rnacentral:rRNA from 1 species
UCUACGGGAGGCAGCAGUGGGGAAUAUUGGGCAAUGGGCGCAAGCCUGACCCAGCAACGCCGCGUGAAGGAAGAAGGCUUUCGGGUUGUAAACUUCUUUUGACAGGGAAGAGUAGAAGACGGUACCUGUCGAAUAAGCCACGGCUAACUACGUGCCAGCAGCCGCGGUAAUACGUAGGUGGCAAGCGUUGUCCGGAUUUACUGGGUGUAAAGGGCGUGUAGCCGGGUUGACAAGUCAGAUGUGAAAUCCUGCGGCUUAACCGCAGAACUGCAUUUGAAACUGUUGAUCUUGAGUACUGGAGAGGCAGACGGAAUUCCUAGUGUAGCGGUGAAAUGCGUAGAUAUCACGAAGAACUCCGAUUGCGAAGGCAGCAUACCGGCUCCAUACUGACGCUGAGGCACGAAAGCGUGGGGAUCGAACAGGAUUAGAUACCCCUGUAGUC